UUUGCGUAGCUGAACCUGCGGAAGGAUCAUUGUCGUGACCCUGACCAAAACAGAUCGCGCACGUGUCAUCCAAUCCGUCGGCGACGGCACCAUACGUCGCUCAGCCAAUGCCUCGACCACCUCCCCUCCUCGGAGCGGGUGGGGGCUCGGGGUAAAAGAACCCAUGGCGCCGAAGGCAUCAAGGAACACUGUGCCUAACCCGGGGGCAUGGCUAGCUUGCUAGCCGUCCCUUGUGUUGCAAAGCUAUUUAAUCCACACGACUCUCGGCAACGGAUAUCUCGGCUCUC
rnacentral:misc_RNA from 1 species